ACUGUGGAGUAUACAAGAACUUGUGAGUAGUAUAUUUAACUUUGUUGAAUUACAAAAGCAUAUACGUUGAAGCAGUAA
ncrna:unclassified sequences RAGATH-18 RNA